rnacentral:rRNA from 1 species
AUUGAACGCUGGCGGCAUGCCUUACACAUGCAAGUCGAACGGUAACAGGUCUUCGGAUGCUGACGAGUGGCGAACGGGUGAGUAAUACAUCGGAACGUGCCUAGUGGUGGGGGAUAACUACUCGAAAGAGUGGCUAAUACCGCAUGAGAUCUACGGAUGAAAGCAGGGGAUCGCAAGACCUUGUGCUACUAGAGCGGCCGAUGGCAGAUUGGGUAGUUGGUGGGAUAAAAGCUUGACAAGCCGACGAUCUGUAGCUGGUCUGAGAGGACGAUCAGCCACACUGGGACUGAGACACGGCCCAGACUCCUACGGGAGGCAGCAGUGGGGAAUUUUGGGCAAUGGGCGCAAGCCUGAUCCAGCAAUGCCGCGUGCAGGAUGAAGGCCUUCGGGUUGUAAACUGCUUUUGUACGGAACGAAAAGCCCCGGGUUAAUACCCUGGGGUCAUGACGGUACCGUAAGAAUAAGCACCGGCUAACUACGUGCCAGCAGCCGCAGUAA